rnacentral:rRNA from 2 species
AAAUUGAAGAGUUUGAUCAUGGCUCAGAUUGAACGCUGGCGGCAGGCCUAACACAUGCAAGUCGAACGGUAACAGGAAGCAGCUUGCUGUUUCGCUGACGAGUGGCGGACGGGUGAGUAAUGUCUGGGAAACUGCCUGAUGGAGGGGGAUAACUACUGGAAACGGUAGCUAAUACCGCAUAACGUCGCAAGACCAAAGAGGGGGACCUUCGGGCCUCUUGCCAUCGGAUGUGCCCAGAUGGGAUUAGCUAGUAGGUGGGGUAACGGCUCACCUAGGCGACGAUCCCUAGCUGGUCUGAGAGGAUGACCAGCCACACUGGAACUGAGACACGGUCCAGACUCCUACGGGAGGCAGCAGUGGGGAAUAUUGCACAAUGGGCGCAAGCCUGAUGCAGCCAUGCCGCGUGUAUGAAGAAGGCCUUCGGGUUGUAAAGUACUUUCAGCGGGGAGGAAGGGAGUAAAGU